UAAUUUUAUAAAUUGCUUUUGUUUUGUUUUUUGCCCUAGGUGUCCCACCAUGAGGUGGCUGUGCAAAAGUUGUAGCUUUACCUCAAAUAAAAGGGUUGAUCUUUUCAAGCACUGCAGACUCAAACAUGGACACAGUGGCCAUACUCAAUCCAUACCAUGCCUAUAUACAAAUUGCCCUUGCUCAUUUAAGACCUUUAAUGCUCUCAAGAUCCAUCUUUCCCGUCAUCAUGUGGAAUCAGUUGCACCAAAGGUGGUCGUUUCAUUCAGUUGUCAGCGCUGCAGUUUAGCGUCCUUCUCUUCAGAGAAACAGUAUUUUGAACAUUUACACAGUCAUUUGAAGAGGUUUGAAGUUGUUCAAUGUGUAUUUAAAAAUUGUAGCUUCAGUACAAACAUUUAUUCAACCUUUUGUACUCAUAAGCACAGGAAACAUGGUCAGCACUCGCAUGAAGAUUUUAAGCCUGAGGUCUUGAAGACUCAUUCAGAUAGUCCUAUUGUCCAGCAUGAUCUAGUGAUUUCUUCUGAAGAGAAUACUGAGGUUUUUGUAGAGCCAUGUGAGGAUCUGUCUGAAAUUAUCAAGGAUAGACUUGGACUACUCUUUCUUAAGAUGGAGAGUUGUUACAAUGUGCCAAACAAGUGCAUUGAUGAAAUUGUCGAUGAGUUGCAGUUUAUUUCCUGCUCCUCAUCUGGACCAGUUUUGAGACAUGUUGUCGAGUCCACCUUCCAGAAACACAAAUGUGACUUGGAUUCAGUUCUGUUAAGCGAUUUGGUGAGCAACCUAUGUGAGUUACACCCUAUUAGCUCAGCUUUAGGGAAAGAUGGUCCAUUUACUACAUCAUAUAGGAGGAGGGAAUAUAUGAAGUCACACUUUUCAGUUGUGGAACCAAAAGAGUACAUUCUGAACAAGAAGGAAAAUAAGACGUUCCAGUAUGUUCCUAUACUGCAGUCCUUGACACAGGUACUUAAAAAUUGUCAAGAAAAGUGCCUAGUUGCUUCAAGGAACUCAGACUGUGCAGCAAAAUAUCAGUCCUUUCAAGAUGGGUCUCAUUUUCAGAAAAGUGAGUUUUUCUCUGCAGAUGAGGAUAGAUUAAGUCUUAUCCUGUAUAUUGAUGACUUUGAGAUCUGCAACCCCCUUGGGACAUCCCGCAAGAUACACAAAGUUACUGCUGUGUAUUGGGUGAUUGGGAACAUCCCAGUACAUGCAAGAUCGACAUUGACGAGUAUAUACUUAGCCAUUCUCUGUAAGGCCAGUGACGCCAAACAGUUUGGAUUCCAGACAGUGCUAGAGCCACUAUUGCGGGAUCUUCAGAGCUUGGAGAAAGAUGGUCUUUAUAUUCCGAGUUUUGGGAAAGUAAUCAAAGGCUCUGUGGUGAGCGUAGUGGCUGACAAUUUGGGUGCUCAUAUGGUGGCAGGAUUUGUUGAAAGUUUCACAGGACCACAUGUCUGUCGAUUCUGUCUGGGAGAGCGCUCUAUGUUUCAGACAACCGAGGUGAGGUCAGGAGUUUUUCAGCGAAGAAGGCAAGAGCAGCACACCAUGCAUGUUCAGACAGCUUUAUCAAGUCCUUCUCUCAAUCCAUGCUAUGGGGUGAAAAAUCAGUGUGCACUAUCAGAAAAACUGUGUUAUUUUGAUGUGACAUCUGGUUACCCUCCUGAUGUUUUACAUGACCUUCUUGAGGGUGUUGUUCCCCUAGAGCUGUCAUUGUCACUGAAUGUGUUCAUCAAGAAGAAGUAUUUCUCUUUGGUGGAACUCAAUAACUUGAUUGGUCAGUUCCCUUACAAGUGGACUGACCGAACAAAUCGCCCACAUUUGGUCCCGGCUAAUUUUGCUGCAAAAAGAUCAGUUGGAGGGAAUGCGCAUGAAAAUUGGUGCCUGCUGCGUCUUUUGCCUUUUGUGAUAGGGUUGAGAGUACCUGAGAGUGAUCCAGUAUGGCAAGUGCUAAUGGUUUUGAAGGACAUAGUGGAGUUAGUGAUGUCCCCAGUUCAUACAGAGGAAAGCAUCUGUUACUUGGACAGUAAGAUCUCCGAACACCGACAAAGAUUUCUUGAUGUAUUUCCCCAAGAGAAACUUCUUCCCAAGCACCACUUCAUUGAGCAUUAUCCUGAGCUCAUAAGGGAAUUUGGUCCAUUGUCUGCCCUGUGGACAAUGCGCUUCGAGGCGAAGCACAGCUUCUUCAAAAAAAUUGUCAGACAGACAGGCUGUUUCAGGAACAUACUGUUGUCCCUUGCCAAAAAACAUCAACUCAUGGUUGCACUGUGUCUCCAUGAGAACAGUGUACUCAAAAAAUCUGUGUCUGUUACCAGAACAUCACAAGUGUCAUUAGAUGUACUAAAUGAGGCCAUUAAAGAGUUGGUGCUGUGCAAGUAUCCAAACGUCACAAUGGUCCAUGUCUCAAACAAGGUGACCUUCUCAGGUACAAGCUAUGCACCAGGAAUGUUGCUGUGUCAUGGUUCAACUGCAGGUUUACCUGACUUUGCUGAAGUUUCUCAGAUCAUCCUGGUGUUGGAUAGCAUAGUCUUUGUUGUCAAGCUGCUAAAUGCAUGGUACAAUGAGCACCUCAGGAGCUAUGAGCUAGAUUACACGCGUAACUUUCGAGUAAUUGAGCCUAAAGAGCUACUUGAUUUCUAUCCCCUGGCUAUGUACACAAUCGCAGGACGACAAGUUGUUACUUUAAAACACCACAUCACCAUUCCCUUUUAGAUGCAAGGGAAGAUGAUCAAAAACGUACAUGUUUGUCAGAAUGAACUAAAAAAAAAAAAAUUUUUUUUUUUUUUUGCAGUGUUUUCCUGCCUGCUCAGAUGUCCACCCCUGCAAAGCUAAGGGUCAUCUUUGAUGAUCAUACAGUCCACAAAUUGGUUCUUCCAUCAGGUAUCCCCGGUACUCUACAGGAUCUCAAGCUAGUCAUCCAGAGCACAUUCUGCACACCAGAUGGCUUUACUCUAAUGUAUCAAGAUGAAGAAUUUGGGGGGCAGUUCUUCACAUUGACCUCUAUAGAAGAUGUUCAAGACAAGGGUACCCUGAAAGUUGUUCAAGUUGAACCAGUCAUUUUAGAUCUCAGUGCAGUGGAAGAAAAGGAUGAUAACGUAACAGAAUCAGACAGCAUGUCAUCCAUAUCUUUAGCAUCUCAGGAUACUGUUUUGUUUUCCUCAUCUGAUGAAAGUCCAUCACACCGUUCCCAACCAUGGCCAAGAAAGUUUGAAAUUCCACUAUUCUCCUUUGGGAUUCGGCUCCUCCUGGAGGCAGGAAACCAAGCUUACCAUUCUGAAGGCACCCUGCUAAACAACCCAAAAGUGACAAGCGGUGUCCUGGAAGAAUUGGCUGAAAAAAUAUUUGAGUACACAGCAUACCCUACGGGAAUUCAAGUUCUGAAUGUAGUCGAGGCCUUAAUUGAGAAGUACCCAUGCCUCAAAGAGCCAGGCUCGUUCAAUGGAAUGUACGGAUGGCAACAAAGGAUAAAGUACAAGAUGGGAAAUUACAGGGCAAAAGUAAGAGGGCUCAAAAUAGCCUGUCCAGAGUUAGAAGUGAACAAAAAGACGACUUCUAGUCCCAAAGGAAUCAGAAGACCCAAAAAGGCGGAAGUAAAUUAUUUGCCACCAUUGCCACUAGGACAGACAAAAGAAACCAUGGAUGAAGAGAGAGUAGAUCUACUUACAGAAGUAAAAAAGACCAACAACGACAAGAUUAUCAGUGAAAAAAUGGAGAAGACCUUUCCAUAUCGACGACUGGAAGUUGUCAGUCAGAUGCCUGCUGUCCCAGAUGUCAUGGAGAGAUGGCCUGCCCUUUUCUCUCAAUCUCAGGUGAAAGAGGAGUUCAAGAGGAUCACAACCAUUCAACUGGACCGAACCUUUUUGUCGAAGAUGGAUUUAUACACUCCAAAACUCCUGACCGUUUUCAAGACAAAGGGUGGGACUGCAGGCACAAAAAUAAAAAGCGUGUUGGAGUCUCUCAGUCAGAAGCAGAUUGAUAGCCAUGAUGCGGUCAUCCGUUGUCUGAUCCCUUUCCUGGGAGAAUCGACAGAGGAACUCAUUAAAGACUACCAGCAGGAUGUGUCCAAGGACGUCAUCGAACAAGACCUCAAAGACAAUGUGAUCAAGAUCCUUGUGCUGGGCAGUGCUGCAGAGGGUGCCCCCCCAACUGAUGUCAUCAUUGUGAUUGAUGGUACAGAGGUAUUAGGUGGUUGUAAAACACUUGCCAACGCUUGCAUGCUGCUCAUGGGCUUUGUGUACUCACUGAAUCUCAGUUAUCCUCCAAAAUUGAAAUACACAUUUGAAGUGUUUCAAAAGUUGCUUUUGGAGUUAGAUGAUUUGAAGGUCUCCCCUAAAGUGGAUUCUCUGAGGAGGAAACUGCUACAUUAAAAGGGAAAUGUGACUAGAGCUCAAGCAGAAGGUGCAAUUGACUUUACUGUGAAGUUUUUCAUAACUGUUCAUAAAAGGCUUUGAGUGAUGCUUCUUGUUCGCUUGAGUGUUUUUGUAAUGACGUCAAUAAUGUACAAAUGGGCCUGUACAGAUUUUUUUUUUUUUAAGAAUUUGCAAUCUUUCUUGAUUUUUGAAUUUUAUUGCAGUGUACUAUUGGUCCACUUGGUAAGUUCCCUCUCAGCCUUCACAUCAUUUAUAGGACCCAGAACACUCACCAAAGCUUGCAUUCUUCUCAUGGGCUUUGUCUACUGACUAAAUCUCAAUCGGGAGCAUAACAGAUUUAACGUGUUUUCAAAAGUUCCUUUUGACAUUUAGGUGACUUAUUUGAAAAUUAUCCCCAAAAGUGGGUUUCUUUGUGGGAAAACAAACUGUUAAUGUUAAAGGGGAAUAUGCCAUUGUAUGUUGCAGAUGCGAAUGACUUCGCUUUGGUGUCUGUUCAUCUUUGAGUUGUCAACUGAAGUCUUUGAGAGUUAUACGUCUUGCUAGAUUUGUUCAGACUUGAAUAAUGUAUAGAUGGGCACGUACAGCUUUUUGCCUUUUUCUUUUUGAAGAUCGCUGUUCUUUCUUGGAAGAUUUAGAAUAUUUUACUAUAGUAUAGGGCAAUUAAGUGGGUCAUGUGUGGAGUACCCAAGGCUAACUCGUCUCUCUCUGCUUAACACACACACAGUUUGUUUUGCAUAUGUUGGCCCAAGAAUAUUUAUGUAUAUUCUUGAUUUUUAUAUAUAUUUUUUUUAUAUUGUAAUGUACAAAAUGCCCUUUGUUUUAUGUUGUGGAAAAAUAAAAAACAUAUCUUGA